GACGAACGCUGGCGGCGUGCUUAACACAUGCAAGUCGAACAGUAAGGCCCUUCGGGGUACACGAGUGGCGAACGGGUGAGUAACACGUGGGCGAUCCGCCCUGCACUUCGGGAUAAGCCUGGGAAACUGGGUCUAAUACCGGAUAGGACUCCGGACUGCAUGGUCUGGGGUGGAAAGCUUUUGCGGUGUGGGAUGGGCCCGCGGCCUAUCAGCUUGUUGGUGGGGUGAUGGCCUACCAAGGCGACGACGGGUAGCCGGCCUGAGAGGGUGACCGGCCACACUGGGACUGAGAUACGGCCCAGACUCCUACGGGAGGCAGCAGUGGGGAAUAUUGCACAAUGGGCGCAAGCCUGAUGCAGCGACGCCGCGUGAGGGAUGACGGCCUUCGGGUUGUAAACCUCUUUCAGCAUCGACGAAGCGAAAGUGACGGUAGGUGCAGAAGAAGGACCGGCCAACUACGUGCCAGCCGCCGCGGUAAAAC
rnacentral:rRNA from 1 species